GUGGAAGCGCCGUCGCUCAACGGAUAAAAGGUACCCCGGGGAUAACAGGCUGAUCUUGCCCAAGAGUCCAUAUCGACGGCAUGGUUUGGCACCUCGAUGUCGGCUCGUCGCAUCCUGGGGCCGGAGCAGGUCCCAAGGGUUGGGCUGUUCGCCCAUUAAAGCGGCACGCGAGCUGGGUUUAGAACGUCGUGAGACAGUUCGGUCCCUAUCCGCUGCGCGCGCGGGAGACUUGAGGAGGCCUGUCCCCAGUACGAGAGGACCGGGACGGACGAACCUCUGGUGUGCCAGUUGUUCCGCCAGGAGCACGGCUGGUUGGCCACGUUCGGAAGGGAUAACCGCUGAAAGCAUCUAAGUGGGAAGCCCCCUCCAAGACCAGGUCUCCGACGACCGCCGGACCCUUGCACGCAAGCGGAGCCGGCCGUUGUGAAGGCCCCCGGCAGACCACCGGGUCGAUAGGCCAGACGUGGAAGCGCCGACUGAAGAGGCGUGGAGCUGACUGGUACUAAUAGGCCGAACACCCAACCAC
rnacentral:rRNA from 1 species